GGCUCGGUGGUGCAGUGGUUAGCAUUGUCGCCUCACAGUAAGAAGUUUGUGGGUUCGAAACUGGUCUGGGGCC